UACGGAGGGUGCAAGCGUUAUCCGGAUUCACUGGGUUUAAAGGGUGCGUAGGCGGGCAGGUAAGUCAGUGGUGAAAUCUCCGGGCUUAACCCGGAAACUGCCGUUGAUACUAUCUGUCUUGAAUAUCGUGGAGGUAAGCGGAAUAUGUCAUGUAGCGGUGAAAUGCUUAGAUAUGACAUAGAACACCCACUGCGAAGGCAGCUUACUACACGAUCAUUGACGCUGAGGCACGAAAGCGUGGGGAGCAAACAGG
rnacentral:rRNA from 1 species